rnacentral:rRNA from 1 species
GAUGAACGCUGGCGGCGUGCCUAAUACAUGCAAGUCGAGCGAACGGACGAGAAGCUUGCUUCUCUGAUGUUAGCGGCGGACGGGUGAGUAACACGUGGAUAACCUACCUAUAAGACUGGGAUAACUUCGGGAAACCGGAGCUAAUACCGGAUAAUAUUUUGAACCGCAUGGUUCAAAAGUGAAAGACGGUCUUGCUGCCACUUAUAGAUGGAUCCGCGCUGCAUUAGCUAGUUGGUAAGGUAACGGCUUACCAAGGCAACGAUGCAUAGCCGACCUGAGAGGGUGUUCGGCCACACUGAAACUGGAACACGGUCCAGACUCCUACGGGAGGCAGCAGUGGGAAAUCUUCCGCAAUGGGCGAAAGCCUGACGGAGCAACGCCGCGUGAGUGAUGAGGGUCUUCGGAUCGUAAAACUCUGUAUUAGGGAAGAACAUAUGUGUAAGUAACUGUGCACAUCUUGACGGUACCUAAUCAGAAAGCCACGGCUAACUACGUG